UACGUAGGUGGCAAGCGUUGUCCGGAAUUACUGGGCGUAAAGCGCACGCAGGCGGUCUGUCAAGUCGGAUGUGAAAUCCCCGGGCUCAACCUGGGAACUGCAUUCGAAACUGGCAGGCUAGAGUCUUGUAGAGGGGGGUAGAAUUCCAGGUGUAGCGGUGAAAUGCGUAGAGAUCUGGAGGAAUACCGGUGGCGAAGGCGGCCCCCUGGACAAAGACUGACGCUCAGGUGCGAAAGCGUGGGGAGCAAACAGG
rnacentral:rRNA from 1 species